UACAGAGGUCUCAACCGUUGUUCGGAUUCAUUGGGCGUAAAGGGUGCGUAGGCGGUCGUGCAAGUCGGAUGUGAAAUCUCAGGGCUCAACCCUGAAACUGCAUUCGAUACUGCGUGGCUAGAGUGCUGGAGAGGAGACUGGAAUUUACGGUGUAGCAGUGAAAUGCGUAGAUAUCGUAAGGAAGACCAGAGGCGAAGGCGAGUCUCUGGACAGCAACUGAUGCUGAGGCACGAAGGCCAGGGGAGCAAACGGG
rnacentral:rRNA from 1 species